rnacentral:rRNA from 1 species
ACGUACACUCCUGCGGGAGGCAGCAGUGGGGAAUAUUGGACAAUGGGCGCAAGCCUGAUCCAGCCAUGCCGCGUGAGUGAUGAAGGCCCUAGGGUUGUAAAGCUCUUUCACCGGUGAAGAUAAUGACGGUAACCGGAGAAGAAGCCCCGGCUAACUUCGUGCCAGCAGCCGCGGUAAUACGAAGGGGGCUAGCGUUGUUCGGAUUUACUGGGCGUAAAGCGCACGUAGGCGGACUAUUAAGUCAGGGGUGAAAUCCCGGGGCUCAACCCCGGAACUGCCUUUGAUACUGGUAGUCUUGAGUUCGAGAGAGUUGAGUGGAAUUCCGAGUGUAGAGGUGAAAUUCGUAGAUAUUCGGAGGAACACCAGUGGCGAAGGCGGCUCACUGGCUCGAUACUGACGCUGAGGUGCGAAAGCGUGGGAAGCAAACAGGAUUAGAAACCCCAGUAGGCCCAUGA